rnacentral:rRNA from 1 species
GACGAACGCUGGCGGCGUGCCUAAUACAUGCAAGUCGAACGCAGUGGGGACGGGUGAGUAACCCGUUGGUAACCUCACCAUCAGAGGGGAUAACACUUGGAAACAGGUGCUAAACCGAUACUGAUGGAUGGACCCGCGGGGCAUUAGCUAGUUGGUGAGGUAACGACUCACCAAGGCCACGAUGAAUAGCCGGUGUGGUAGUGUGAUAGGCCACACGGAGACGUAGACACGGCCAAGACUCCUACGGGGGGCAGCAGUAGGGAAUUUGGGGCAAUGGACGAAAGUCUGACCGAGCAACGCCGCGUGAGGGAAGAAGGUUUUCGGAUCGUAAAACUCUGUUGUUAGAGAAGCGGUAUCUAACCAGAAAGCCACGGCUAACUACGUGCCAGACGCCGCGGAAUUC